rnacentral:rRNA from 1 species
CACGUAGGGUGCGAGCGUUGUCCGGAAUUAUUGGGCGUAAAGAGCUCGUAGGCGGUGUGUCACGUCGGCCGUGAAAACCUGCAGCUUAACUGUGGGCGUGCGGUCGAUACGGGCAUCACUGGAGUUCGGCAGGGGAGACUGGAAUUCCUGGUGUAGCGGUGAAAUGCGCAGAUAUCAGGAGGAACACCGGUGGCGAAGGCGGGUCUCUGGGCCGAUACUGACGCUGAGGAGCGAAAGCGUGGGGAGCAAACAGG